UUUUUGUUCAAUAUUCGUAUAAAAUAAUAUUUUCUUCCAUACUCUGUAGUAUGUAUGUAAUAUUAUUUCGUUUCAGAUUUCGAAUUCUACACUCAUUUUGUUAAAGUUUUAGCUUCUAUACUCCAUGAAAUUAGUAGAAUAUCCUUAAAUUUUGCGUUUCAUCCAGUAUCUUUUCGUGAAAAUAUUAUUCUGAACAUUCUUGACAAGUUUUAACUUUUUCAUGCCAGAGUACUAUUCACGGGGUACUAUUCUCGAUUUACUAUUCGCGGGGUACUAUUCACUCUAGGUACUAUUCAUGAUAAAAAUUGAUUCGUUUUCGGUCCAAAUUAUUUUUGGUAUAAUAUUAUUCUUGAAUUUUACUCAACAAAGCACUAUCAUGUUGACAAUUUGGACAUUAUUGAAUUCUGGAUAAAUUAAGUUAUAAAUAUUUAAAAAUUUAUCCUUUACUUUCUUUUAAUUGAAUUCUUAUAUUAUCGUCAUCAUCCUCAUGCUUAUAUUAUGAUGAAAAUCAUCUGUGGCACGUAGUGCAUAAAUGGACUUGGUAUGAUUAUGACCAGAGAUUAUUCGGUAUAAUCAUGACCGUAAUGUUACAAAUGAUGUGGUAAAAGUCCUCAUUGGCUCGUAGUGCAUUGAUGGACAGUUGUUGGCAUGAUAAUGACCAUUGGUGAAAACAAGAAUAUCUUUGGCCCGUAGUGUAUGGAUAAUUUGUGGUCGUGAUACUAAAGAAUAUCCUUAGCCCGUAGUGCAUGGAUAAUUCAGUGAUGUGGAUUAUUUAUUAAGCUGAGUCUCAGCGAUAAAAUUGAUGAUAAACUUUUUAAAUCAUAGAAGAUAGUAGAUAUCAUGCUCUACUUGACUCUUCUAAUGGAUUGCUUAUUCCGCUGCAGUUGUUGAUCUAAAACUUGUUGCCUAUUAUAUUCUAUUAGUUGUUAUACUGUUAGAGGUUAAGGAUAAUUUAUUCUGUAUUAUCAUAAUCAUAAUAUUUUUACUGGGCUAGUUGAGCUCACCCUUUCUUUCAAUAUUCUUUUUAGGAAAUGAGAAUAUAGUUGGGACUAGUCGGGAAAUGAAUUGACGG
rnacentral:lncRNA from 1 species